CAGGAAUGGAGUGGGUUUUCUUCCUCCUUCCAGCCUGCCCUGGUGCGCCCUCCAUGUCCCUGCUGCCCAGCUUCUUGGCACCAAGCCCCGGCAUCUUGUUAUCACAGGCGCUGUGCUGUCUGUCACCUUUUAUUACAAAACCUUCUGAAAUUCUCCAAAUCGUCUCGCCGGUUAUCGUGUUCAACCACAGUGUGCUUGCAGGAGCCUCGAGCUGGAACCACAAGGCAGCCACAGUGCGUCGGGGACUUCUGUUCUGUGCCCAGGAGGGCCCCCCUCCUUUCUCCUCCCCACUAGGGUCUCACACUGUGUCCCAGACUGGUCUGAAACUAUCUAUGUGUAGCCCAGGCAGAAGUGGCAUACGCAGCAAUUCUCCUGUCUCAGUGUCCUGGCUGCUGAGCUUGCAGGCUGACAUUUUGAUGCAGGAUCUCCCAGUGACCAAUCAGGCUAGACUGACCGGCAAGCAAGCUCUCUGGUGCCUGGAUUAUGUGCCUGGAUUAUGAACGCUCAUUACCACACCUCGCUUUGGUUUCAUGAAGGUUCUGGGGUCACACUCACCCCCACUGCACAGCCACCAUCAGCUGUGUCCUCUGGACAUUCUGACAGGUUGUUAGAACUGUUUCUGAGAAAAUAUGAUUCCCCACCCCAGCUUCAGCAUGGAUCCGGGCACCCCUGACAUUCAGUGGCACUCACUUCUGCUAAUAGGGAUCUUAGAGAUGAUCUUGGAGACGGAAGGCAUCAGUCCAAAAUGGCCACACAGCAAAUACAAACGGUGAGCCAGACAACUUGUCUCGGUGACACCUGAAUCAAGGCAGGGACCUUGUGUCACAAAGGGAGCAGCAGCCAUAAAUAUCCACAGUGGUGUGAAAUACCAGAAUGCUCUCCACAGCCCAUGAAAUGGACAUAAAUGUUUACUUCACACUAUAAUUAUGAAGAGGGGCCAUGGAUCGCCAUAAAACCCUAAAGAUUGAUGCUAAACCAACCACCUCCUUAGUAUCAUAAAUUCUGCCUGCGGUUAUAUGCAGUAUUUAAUAAACAUUAAUGAAAAUUUUGUUUAUAACACAUUUUUUUUUAAAAAAAUGGGGCUGGUGAGAUGGCUCAGUGAGUAAGAGCACCCGACUGCUCUUCCGAAGGUCCGGAGUUCAAAUCCCAGCAACCAC
rnacentral:lncRNA from 1 species